rnacentral:sRNA from 1 species
GGUGCGUGAUGUUCAUAAGGCGCAAUCCAAUUUUAUUGUACUAAUUUUUUUCCUAAUACGUAUAUUUGGCAAAUAAUCAGUCAUAAAGAAAUAAUCGUGCACAUGUUCCUGCACACUGGGUUAUCGCACGUAUCUCGGGUGACGUGAUGGUUACACAUUCUCCGGCGACUACAGCCUGUCACCUGUUCAGUCCGUGUCUGUGCGUUAAUCAAACACAGCGCAAUCCAUUUGUAAGCAGCUACAGUCGCUCCUUACUCACACACACACAGACACACACACACACACACACACACACAUGACAGCGCAUCACGAGCGCCAGCAGCCCGAACGUGACAUAUGGCGAUGAACUUUUAUGCCAGUAAGAUAUCAGACGCAGCCCACGGCACGCGUUGCCAGCAAUCCGUGCUGCAAAAGUCGCGCGGUCAACGGGAUCGUGGCAGACACACACAUACAUAUGCAUAUCGGCAGCAUAUGCCUUGCCAUCUGUGCAAUUUAGACAGCACUGAGGCCGGAGCUAAAGAGCCAGCUCAAACUGCUGACUUAAACAUUCUCACGCCCAGCGACGACAGUCUGGAGCAGGCCAUUAGGCAAGGAAAUGAAUUAGGUCGAAGAGUGGAGCAGCUGAAUGAACACGAUUUGAAAUCAGAGCUACAGCAGUGCUGGAGAAUUGAGCAGCACAGCAAGACAGCGAAGCUGCGCAGAGGCGUGUGUUGGCCUUAUCUGCUGCCUUGUUGACAACAGCAAUUGGUCAGUAACAGGGCAAUAUUGAAGAAGUUGCUAGAGGCGCCAACCAGAGAUGUAGUGAAAGUCAAACAUGGAGAUUUAUGGCAUAGACAGAAAGUUCUCAUGAAUAAACAGCAAAUGCAGCAUCAGCAACAGCAGAGUCACUGCAGUAGCAACAGCAGCACCAGCAGAGUCCCAUCAUCGAAGGAUCAACACAAAUAUGGAUAAUAUAUGAACCAUCCAUCCUAUUAAAAGCUAACAGCAAAUUGCUCAUCGCGCGAGAGGCAUGUUGACGUCGAUGAGCCGCCUUGGAGCAGUUCGCCCAAGGACAAGUGCGAUAUGAAUGCGAGUGCAAUAUGCAAUGCGAGUGCAAGGGGCGGCCUCUUGUGAUUGCAGUGCCGAGCAGCAGCAGACUAAUGCAGUAUCAAUAAGAACAACAACAACAACAACGACAAACCCAUCAGUGAAACAUGAUUGGGUCUCAGCCAUGGCCAUGUGUGGCGGAUAUUGUGAAAUUGGCACUGGCCAAGCGCGAAAACUGUUUCGCCGUUGGUGAGUUAUCCUUAUGCCGUGCACUUGGAUCGAGCCCAGGCAGCUCUCGUGUCAUGUGCAUAAAUUAAUAUAAAUCAAAUUCAUGCGAC